rnacentral:rRNA from 1 species
GUGAACUAGUGGCCAGUAGCGUGGGGAGUAUGAAGUAUGCUAGGUGUAUCGGGAUUUAUUGGGUUUAAAGGGUGCGUAGGCGGCGUUAUAAGUCAGUGGUGAAAUCCUAUCGCUUAACGAGAGACGUGCCAUUGAUACUGUAGGGCUUGAGGAUAGAUGCCGUUGGCGGAAUGUGUCAUGUAGCGGUGAAAUGCAUAGAUAUGACACAGAACACCGAUUGCGAAGGCAGCUGACGAAACUAUAACUGACGCUGAUGCACGAAAGCGUGGGGAUCAAACAGGAUUAGAUACCCGAGUAGUC